GGAUCAAAUUUGGUAGACUUUCAGCAUCAUCAGGUUAUUCUUAGAGCAGAAUUUGGAAUGAAAUUGAUUCAUAUCAACCAAUUCCUUAAAAAAAUUUUUUUUAAGUAAAACUGUGUAAGUCCUGUGCAUGUCUCUGCUGGAAGGGAGAGGAACUACAGCUGGGCCUCGUGCCUUCUUGGUGAUCAGUUAAUCACCCUAUUUAGGUUUCACAUAAAGGCACUGUUAUCUUUCCAUAAGUGAGAAAAAUGUGUUCAAAGUGAAAUGACUGCCCAAAGUCAUACUGUAAGUAGCAAACCAUCCAUGGAUCCAGAGUCCAUUCUUUCUGCCUUCAAAGCUUUCAGUUAUGCUGCAGUGUUUUCUGGGUGAAAUACUAGGAUUUAAACAGAUGCUUAGAGUUUUUGUGUUGAGCCUGUAGUUGUUCUUGGAUCUUGUUUAAACUAGUACCAUCUAAAGUGAAUACCUGUGUCCAUUCUUUUCCAGGUUUUGCUGUUACCACUCAAGAUACCAUACCUUGAAUAAUACAGGAACACUGAAUAAGGUUAUAAUAAUACUCAGGACACUGAUAAGAUCUCAAGCUGUAACUAUGUGCUGGGCAGACAAGCAGGGAAGACAUUGUGAGCAGAAGGAACACUCUAUCCCAAGGACUGAAACCUUACCAUGUGUAUUCAGGCAUUGAUGCCCACUGCAAAGAGAGGUCAUGGAGAUGAAAGUGCUCAGGAUGUCCAGCACACGGUAAGUAGCUUAAUAGGUGAGCCUACCUCAUUGUGAUUAUUUUUCAGUUUCCUAUGUGUUUUCAAUCCCACUGCUUAAUUGAGCAUUGGGUUUGGUGAUAUGUGGCUUUAUAUUUCCUUUACCUCAGCUAGGAACAGUAUAAGGAUUACAUGCUCAGGCUCUGGAGUUUGCCCAGACCUAGCCUUGAAUCCUGGCAGAGCCAAUUGCUGAUGGAGUGAGAGUCUUCUCAUGCUCUGGAUAAUGGAAAAAAGCUCUCUGUAAAAUUGAAGCUGCAGCUGGAUGAAGAUGGAAAUGCUCUCUACAGGCUCAAGCCUAACCUGGCCCUGUGGAGUGUCAUAACUCCAGAAGGAAAGGGCCACAUACCUUGCAGCUAUGUUAACUUGCCAAAGUCCCCAGCAGGUCUCAUUUCUUUCUCAGUGGGGAUUAGAGGUAAGGUGGCCAGCACUCACAAAAUGAAAAAAUCAAAGGUCUCUUUAUGAAUGGAGUGGGCACAGGGCUUAAAGGAGCCAAACAGUGGGCAGUCUCAGUCUAUGGCCCAUAUUCACAUACUUGUUUCUGUAUGGGGAGAGCCCAAAGCACCCAAUGGGCUGAGCUGAGUACACUACUUCCAGAAAUAGUAUAUGCCCCUGACAAACAUUUUCCUAAGAUUUAUAUUUUUACCAACUCCUGGUUGUGGGUUAAUGGGCUCACCAAAAAGUUCUAUUUGACCAGAACUUCAGCAAAAUGUGGGAUGAGGACUGGACAUGAACCAACUCUGUGAUUGUGUCCACUCAUCAUCCAGCAUUUAGCUAAGCAGACUGCCUACUACCCUCUGGAGAGAAAGGCACUGUCGUCUGCCAUCCAAGUACUUUGCUCCACUGAUGACACUAAGGAACAAGUCUGAAUCUGCAAUGGAUACCUGUGGGAUCGAACUCAUCAUCCCAGACUGGCCAACACAAUUUGGACAAUGCCCAGAAGACAUUCCUCUACUGCUGGGUGCAGAUGACUCGGACUUCGACCCCUACUCUGUUGCUAUAUGUUUUCCUUACCCAAGUUCCUGUCCUUGCCGGUGUCAACUCCACAGCCACUGGUGUAUGUAUCAUCACUUAGUCCUAGAUCACUUAUUGGCUGCUGUAGGAAGUGGGUUCUGCACACUUAACACAUGUUGCUACAUGUUUUAAAGCUAGCCAGGGACAUGUAUUAAAGGGGCAUGUCCCUUUAAUAACAGUUUAUAGAUUAAGCAAAUUGAACAAAUCGAUUUUCUAAGUCUUCUGACAGACUGGCUGCAAACGGGCUUUGAAAUCCUUGUUUUUAUUUUCAUUGGAUGCUGGAACUUCAAAAUGCUUUUCCAUGGGCUCCAAACUAAAGCAUAAUGCAUUUACAUAUAACUAAAAUUAUAAAGCAACGUGGGCCCGAGGGAUGGAUUAUUAUUAUGAGCCAAAGAUAACUUCUUGUAUAUUGGCCUUCUGUUGUUUAACUUAGUAAUAGCAGCCUGGGACCCAUAAGCACAAAAGCCUGCGGAUGCCAAACUCAAAUUUUACCCCUACAAGAGUUUGAAACAUAGCUCAAAUAAGCAGAUUUUUAGCCAUUUGCAGGCUAUCUGGUAUGUAUACCCCAGGAAACCACACCUAACCUCUUCUAGCCAUAGAUAAACCCAGCAGCUAUAAAGCUGUUCAUGUUCCAUGUUCCAGAGACUCUAAGUGUUGCUACUGAGUGAUAUCACCUAAACACACAAGCACUCUCUCUCUCUGCUUUUCCUCUUCUCCCUUUGGAUGGACAGUUUUAUUCUAUGAAGGACUUCCUCAUCACGCCAACCUGUCCAGGUGUUAGUCAAAUACAGUUCACUAUGUGCUACUGCCACCUGGUGGUCAUAUCUUUUUCCAUGCUCAACCCCCAAAUCCUCCAACUUGCUUUAGCCUGUCUAGACAUUUAUCAGUUUUAUGCAUCUUUUCAAAAACUAGUUUGGGGUUUUGCUAUUUUUCUCUGUUGCUUUUCUGUUUUCUUUUUUAGUUGGUUUCUGCUGUAAUCUUUAUUAUUUCCUUAUUCUUCUUAAUUUGUAUUUCAUUUGUCCUUCUUUAGUUUCCUAAGGUAGAACAGCAAUUACAGAUUUGAGAUCUUUCUUCUUUUCCAAGCAGAGAUGUUUAGUG